UACAGAGGGGGCAAGCGUUGUUCGGAAUUAUUGGGCGUAAAGGGCGCGUAGGCGGCCCUUCAAGUGGUAGGUGAAAUCCCUCGGCUCAACCGAGGAGCUGCCCGCCAAACUGAAGAGCUUGAGUCCGGGAGAGGUGAGUGGAAUUCCCAGUGUAGCGGUGAAAUGCGUAGAUAUUGGGAGGAACACCAGUGGCGAAGGCGGCUCACUGGACCGGAACUGACGCUGAGGCGCGAAAGCGUGGGGAGCAAACGGG
rnacentral:rRNA from 1 species